rnacentral:tRNA from 1 species
GUGCCCGUAGCUCAGGGGAUAGAGCGCCAGCUUGCGGAGCUGUAGGUCGCAGGUUCAAUUCCUGCCGGGCACAC